AUUUUUGAGUGUCGUCUAUCACCAUUCCAGCUAACCUUGAUGAGAGACAGCCCCCCAGAUGGCAGCAACACAAGAGACACAGAAAGACAGGAAGUAAAGACAAGUAAAGACAAUGCCUUUACAUGAAGAUCCAGAAGGUGAUGGGAGCCAUAACAGGAGAACUCAGUAGAGGGAAGCCAAGCGAGAGAUUGGCCUCAGCUUUGGUGUUGAUUGAAAGAGAGAAGGCAAAAGACUCUGAGGAACCCUUAAGACAACCAGGCUUUCUUGAGAGGUAUUGAAUAUUACCAUGAGAGAGCUACGUAUAUUCUCAGAACCAGGAAC
rnacentral:lncRNA from 1 species